AGUCAAUAGAUACCCCGGUAGUCCUAGCCGUAAACGAUACUCGCUAGGUGUCGGCCACGGUGCGACCGUUGUCGGUGCCGUAGGGAAAGCCGUGAAGCGAGCCACCUGGGAAGUACGGCCGCAAGGCUGAAACUUAAAGGAAUUGGCGGGGGAGCACCACAACGGGUGGAGCUUGCGGUUUAAUUGGAUUCAACGCCGGAAAUCUUACCGGGACCGACAGCAACAUGAAGGCCAGGCUGAAGACUUUGCCGGAUUAGCUGAGAGGUGGUGCAUGGCCGUCGUCAGUUCGUACUGUGAAAGCAUCCUGUUAAGUCAGGCAACGAGCGAGACCCACGCCCACAGUUGCCAGCGUACUCUCCGGAGUGACGGGUACACUGUGGGGACCGCCGCUGCUAAAGCGGAGGAAGGAAUGGGCAACGGUAGGUCAGUAUGCCCCGAAUAUCCCGGGCUACACGCGAGCUACAAUGGUUGGUACAAUGGGUAUCUACCCCGAAAGGGGAUGGAAAUCUCCUAAAGCCAAUCUUAGUUCGGAUUGAGGGCUGCAACUCGCCCUC
rnacentral:rRNA from 1 species